rnacentral:rRNA from 1 species
GACGAACGCUGGCGGCGUGCCUAAUACAUGCAAGUAGAACGCAGUUGCGAACGGGUGAGUAACGCGUAGGUAAAUGCCGCAUAGCGGGGGAUAACUAUUGGAACAGAUAGCUAAUACCGCAUACUUGAAGAUGUACCUGCGUUGUAUUAGCUAGUUGGUGAGGUAAAGGGUCACCAAGGCGACGAUACAUAGCCUACCUGAGAGGGUGAUCGGCCCCAAGGGGACGGAGGCACGGCCCAGAAUGCUACGGGAGGCAGCAGUAGGGAAGCUUCGGCAAUGGAGCGAAGUCUGACCGAGCCACGGCGCGUGAGUGGAGAAGGUUUUUGGAUCGUAAAGCUCGGUUGUUAGAGAAGCGUUAACGAACCAGAAAGGAACGGCUAACUACGUGCCAGCAGCCGCGGUAAUAC